rnacentral:rRNA from 1 species
UACGUAGGGGGGCAAGCGUUGUCCGGAAUCAUUGGGCGUAAAGCGCGUGUAGGCGGUUACGUAAGUCUGCUGUGAAAGUCGGAGGCUCAACCUUCGAAAGCCGGUGGAUACUGCGUGACUUGAGUACGGAAGAGGAGAGUGGAAUUCCUGGUGUAGCGGUGAAAUGCGCAGAUAUCAGGAGGAACACCGGUGGUGUAGACGGCUUACUGGACCAUAACUGACGCUGAGGAGCGAAAGCGUGGGGAGCAAACAGG